rnacentral:rRNA from 1 species
ACUCCGUGAAGCUGGAUUCGCUAGUAAUCGCGCAUCAGCCAUGGCGCGGUGAAUACGUUCCCGGGCCUUGUACACACCGCCCGUCAAGCCAUGGGAGCCGGGGGUGCUUGAAGUGCGUCGCCGCAAGGCGCGCCCUAGAGCAAAACCGGUGACUGGGGCUAAGUCGUAACAAGGUAUC